ACUGUGGACACCUGAUGGCCUGUUAAAAUGCAGAUUCUGACUUAGUUAUUCUGGGGAGGGGCCUGAGGUUCUGCAUUUUUAAUAAGUUCCUUGGAGGUACAAAG
rnacentral:miRNA from 1 species